rnacentral:rRNA from 1 species
GAUGAACGCUGACAGAAUGCUUAACACAUGCAAGUCUACUUGAACUUCGGUUUGGGUGGCGGACGGGUGAGUAACGCGUAAAGAACUUGCCUCACAGUUAGGGACAACAUUUGGAAACGAAUGCUAAUACCUGAUAUUAUGAUUUUAGGGCAUCCUAAGAUUAUGAAAGCUAUAUGCACUGUGAGAGAGCUUUGCGUCCCAUUAGCUAGUUGGAGAGGUAACGGCUCACCAAGGCGAUGAUGGGUAGCCGGCCUGAGAGGGUGAACGGCCACAAGGGGACUGAGACACGGCCCUUACUCAUACGGGAGGCAGCAGUGGGGAAUAUUGGACAAUGGACCAAAAGUCUGAUGCAGCAAUUCUGUGUGCACGAUGACGUUUUUCGGAAUGUAAAGUGCUUUCAGUUGGGAAGAAAAAAAUGACGGUACCAACAGAAGAAGUGACGGCUAACUACGUG